rnacentral:lncRNA from 1 species
AUGCAUAAAAAUAAUUAAUUCAAUUAUGUCUAAAAUCCUAAAAACUACAUCUCGUGUAUGGUAUUAGCAUCUGGUUUGGUCUUACAACUUGAUGAUAAGAAUUUUCAUUACCAUGAUUUUAUCUUAGAUGAUAUAAAAACUAUUUGACCAAAAAAAAAAAAGAUGAUAUAAAAACUAAUAUAUUUUUUACUGAUUAAGAUUAGUAAUCGUAAUAUAAUCGAUGAAUGUCAC